rnacentral:rRNA from 1 species
UACGAAGGUGGCAAGCGUUGUUCGGAUUUACUGGGCGUACAGGGCGCGUAGGCGGUUGGGUAAGUCCUCCGUGAAAUCUCCGGGCCUAACCCGGAAAGUGCGGAGGGGACUGCCCGGCUAGAGGAUGGGAGAGGAGCGCGGAAUUCCCGGUGUAGCGGUGAAAUGCGUAGAGAUCGGGAGGAAGGCCGGUGGCGAAGGCGGCGCUCUGGAACAUGUCUGACGCUGAGGCUCGAAAGCGUGGGGAGCAAACAGG